AUUGAACGCUGGCGGCAUGCCUUACACAUGCAAUUCGAACGGUAACAGGUCUUUUGAUGCUGACGAGUGGCGAACGGGUGAGUAACACAUCGGAACGUGCCUAGUAGUGGGGGAUAACUCCUCGAAAGAGUGGCCAAUACCGCCUGAGAACUACGGAUGAAAGCAGGGGAUCGCAAGACCUUGUGCUACUAUAGCGGCCGAUUGCAGAUUAGGUAGUUGGUGGGAUAAAAGCUUACCAAGCCGACGAUCUGUAGCUGGUCUGAGAGGACGAUCAGCCACACUGGGACUGAGACACGGCCCAGACUCCUACGGGAGGCAGCAGUGGGGAAUAUUGGACAAUGGGCGCAAGCCUGAUCCAGCAAUGCCGCGUGUGUGAAGAAGGCCUUCGGGUUGUAAAGCACUUUCAGAGAUGAGGAAGUUGAGCUGGCUAAUACCCUGUUUGAUUGACGUUAGUUUCAGAAGAAGCACCGGCUAACUCUGUGCCAGCCGCCGCAGUAAAAC
rnacentral:rRNA from 1 species